GUUCCUUCCUCUAAGUUUAGACAAACUGGAUCCAGCACCAUGGCUAGGGUGGGAGGCAGCCUUCAGGACAGGGUCAGCGGCUUCCCCUGGCCCCUGGGGUCCUGCUUCAUUCUGCAAAGGAAGUCGUCCAUUCUGAUGUGUCUACACGGGGCCCCUGAGCUCAGUGUUUUGGUUGAAAAGAAUUCUGGCACUAUCCUGGACUGCAGCAACCAAAACAUUUCAGAAGGAAAUGAAUGUUUUUGCAGGUAGAGUCCGUUGUGGAUCCUAGGGGCGCUUAAACACUUCAUCAUCGGUUAAGUGCCGUGUUUACAUGGCACCGGUUCAGUCUCCCCAGAGCAGCCCCGUGGGGCUCCCCGCGGGCGUGUAUUCCCACAUAGCCAGUGGGUUCCAGCUGCAGCCAGUUGGGGAGCAAACAUAGGAAACUGGGCCAGCGGAAAAAUGGUCUGUUGGGCUUGGCUGGCAGAAUGCAGCAGAGAAACGGUGGAGUCUGUAGAUCUAGCAAAGGCCAAAACCCAUCCAUUGGGUAUCCCAGUGGAAUCUCCGAUUCUAGAAGGUGAGCGGUCACUGAGUGAGCUGCUGGCCCAAGUUUGCAGCCAUGCUGGGCUUUGCAUAGUUUUGUUUGUUUGUUUGUUUUUUAGUGAGAUGUAGCCCCGCUCUGUCACCCAGGGUGGAGUGCAGUGGCGCAAUCUGGGCUCACUGCAACCUCCACUCCUGGGUUUAACCAAUUCUCCUGUCUCAGCCUUCUGAAUAGCUGGGAUUACAGGUGUGCGCCACCAUACCUGGCUAGUUUUUGUAUUUUUGCUAGAGAUGGAGUUUCACCAUGUUGGUCAGGAGUUCGAGACCAGCCUGGCCAAAAUGGCAAAAUCCUAUCUCUACUAAAACUAUAAAAAUUUGCCUUUGCCAGGCAUGGUGGCAUGUGCCUGUAAUCCCAACUACUCAGGAGGCUGAGACAGGAGAAUCGCUUGAACCUGGGAGGGGGAGGUUGCAGUGAGCUGACGUGACACCACUGCACUCCAGCCUGGGUGACAGAGCAAGACUCCAUCUCAAAAAACAAAAACAAAAAA
rnacentral:lncRNA from 10 species